UGAGGAAUAUUGGGCAAUGCCCGCAAGGGUGACCCAGCAACGCCGCGUGGAGGAUGAAUGUCGUAAGAUUGUAAACUCCUGUUAGAGGGGAAGAAUAGUACCGGUUGGACCGGUAUAUGACUGUACCCUCAGAGAAAGCCCCGGCUAACUACGUGCCAGCAGCCGCGGUAAUACGUAGGGGGCAAGCGUUGUCCGGAUUUACUGGGUGUAAAGGGCGCGCAGGCGGGAUAAAAAGUCAGUGGUGAAAUCCUACAGCUUAACUGUAGAACUGCCUUUGAUACUUUCAUUCUUGAGUUCGGGAGAGAGAGACGGAAUUCCAGGUGUAGUGGUGAAAUACGUAGAUAUCUGGAAGAACACCAGUUGCGAAGGCGGUCUCUUGGUCCGAUACUGACGCUGAGGCGCGAAAGCGUGGGGAGCAAACA
rnacentral:rRNA from 1 species